AUACGGAGGGUGCGAGCGUUGUUCGGAAUUACUGGGCGUAAAGGGCGCGCAGGCGGCUUGAUAAGUGAGAUGUGAAAGCCCACGGCUCAACCGUGGAAGUGCAUCUGAAACUGUCUGGCUCGAGUACUGGAGAGGAAAGUGGAAUUCCUGGUGUAGAGGUGAAAUUCGUAGAUAUCAGGAGGAACACCGGUGGCGAAGGCGACUUUCUGGACAGAUACUGACGCUGAGGCGCGAAAGCGUGGGGAGCAAACAGGAUUAGAAACCCUAGUAGUCC
rnacentral:rRNA from 1 species